rnacentral:rRNA from 1 species
CCUACGGGCGGCAGCAGUGGGGAAUAUUGGACAAUGGGCGAAAGCCUGAUCCAGCCAUGCCGCGUGUGUGAAGAAGGCCUUCGGGUUGUAAAGCACUUUCAGUGGGGAAGAAAGCCUUGGGGCUAAUACCCUCGAGGAAGGACAUCACCCACAGAAGAAGCACCGGCUAACUCCGUGCCAGCAGCCGCGGUAAUACGGAGGGUGCGAGCGUUAAUCGGAAUUACUGGGCGUAAAGCGCGCGUAGGCGGUCUGAUAAGCCGGUUGUGAAAGCCCCGGGCUCAACCUGGGAACGGCAUCCGGAACUGUCAGGCUAGAGUGCAGGAGAGGGAGGUAGAAUUCCCGGUGUAGCGGUGAAAUGCGUAGAGAUCGGGAGGAAUACCAGUGGCGAAGGCGGCCUUCUGGACUGACACUGACGCUGAGGUGCGAAAGCGUGGGUAGCAAACAGGAUUAGAUACCCGUGUAGUC